UUUAAGGUCUAACCUGCCCAAUGAGGAUUUAAAUGGCCGCAGUAUUUUGACUGUGCAAAGGUAGCAUAAUUAUUAGUUUUUUAAUUGAAAGCUUGUAUGAAGGGUUGGACGAGAUAAAAUCUGUCUUUAUUUAAAUUAAAGUAUAAUUUAACUUUUAAGUCAAAAGGCUUAAAUGUUUAUAAAAGACGAGAAGACCCUAUAGAUCUUUAUUUAGUUAAGAUUUUAAUAAUUUAGGAUUAUUUUAAUUUGGAGUCUUAAUUGAAUUUUAUUGGGGUAAUAUAAAGAUUAAAUGAAUUCUUUUUAUUUAUGACAUUAAUUUAUGAAUAUAUGAUCCAUUAAUAUUGAUUAUAAGAUUAAGUUACCUUAGGGAUAACAGCGUAAUUUUUUUGGAGAGCUCAUAUCGAUAAGAAAGUUUGCGACCUCGAUGUUGGAUUAAAAAUUAGCUUGGGUGCAGAAGCUCAAGAUUUUGGUCUGUUCGACCAUUAAAUUUUUACAUGAUCUGAGUUCAGACCGGCGUGAGCCAGGUCGGUUUCUAUCUUUAUUCAGAUAAAAUAUUUUAGUACGAAAGGACCAAGUAUUUAAUAUAAUUAUAUUUAUUUUUUGAAGAAUAUU
rnacentral:rRNA from 1 species